rnacentral:rRNA from 1 species
UGGGGAAUUUUGGACAAUGGGCGCAAGCCUGAUCCAGCCAUACCGCGUGAGUGAAGAAGGCCUUCGGGUUGUAAAGCUCUUUCAGACGGAAAGAAACGGUUACGGCUAAUACCCGUGACUAAUGACGGUACCGUAAGAAGAAGCACCGGCUAACUACGUGCCAGCAGCCGCGGUAAUACGUAGGGUGCGAGCGUUAAUCUGAAUUACUGGGCGUAAAGCGUGCGCAGGCGGUUUGGUAAGACAGAUGUGAAAUCCCCGGGCUUAACCUGGGAACUGCAUUUGUGACUGCCAGACUAGAGUGUAGCAGAGGGGGGUAGAAUUCCACGUGUAGCAGUGAAAUGCGUAGAUAUGUGGAGGAAUACCGAUGGCGAAGGCAGCCCCCUGGGCUAACACUGACGCUCAUGCACGAAAGCGUGGGGAGCAAACAGGAUUAGAUACCCUUGUAGUCCCUGAGCGGGCUGGCAAGGCGCAU